AUGUGGAUAAUUUUUUUUCUCGUAGAUCCCUUCUCGCUGUUCAGGAUCACUACAUUGCCACUAAUGAAGAAGUACAUUAUAUUCGAUUGUACCACAGUGUAUCAGUCUCUGUGUAUAAGUUCUGCUUCUGCUCCUCUCACUCUACAUCAAUUCCUGGAGGUCAUUCCAGUAUAAUUAUGGAGGAGGCAGAACUGCAAUUUCCAUGGGUUCAGGGCAACUGUGAAUCUCAGGGAUUUUAAGCAAGAAUUCCCAAGAUCCAGGAAUACAGCUUGGAGGUUUGAAAAGAAGGUGAACCUUAGGUGUGAAAUUAAAUGUUAAAAUUAAAUCUACUUCAACUUCCUCCUUUUACAGAUGAGGAAGCUAAAGCCUAGAAGAUUAAGUGACAUGCCUGAGGAUAUAUAUAUAGGUACAAAGUGUCAGAGUUAGGAUUUGAACUCAGAUCACUGGAUCUCGCAUUUAAGUUAGCUGGGCAAACUAAUAAUGGGUACGGUAGCCAGUGUUUAGAAAAGAACAUGAAGGAAUGCUUAGUAUUCCCUCCUUAGUGUCAACUAUAAAGGGUGAAUAUUAUGGUUGAGACUGAAAAAAAUCUAAAUUUAAAUGGUCGCCUAGGGAAAUCCCAAAUAAUAAAAUACCCAAGUCAGCUGCCA
rnacentral:lncRNA from 1 species